UGGGGUAUCGCCAAGCGGUAAGGCACCGGUUUUUGAUACCGGCAUUCCCUGGUUCAAUCCAGGUACUCCAGCCA
rnacentral:tRNA from 1 species